AGGNUCUUAAAGCCUGGCCAAUGUUUCAUGGCAUUUGAGUGGUGCAUCACUGAUUAUUUUGAUCCUAAAAAUCAAGAACAUCACAAGAUUAAGGCAGAAAUUGAGAUUGGUGAUGGCCUUCCAGACAUCAGGUACACCAGACAAUGCCUUGAAGCUCUGAAACAAGCUGGUUUUGAGUUAAUGGCUAUUGCUGCAGAACCUGAUUUUAGGUGCAAAGAUAUGAAAUGUGCUUCUUUAUCUGCAGAACCUGAUUUUAGUGUGUUGGGUAAGCGACUUGGUAAAUCACUGGGAGUUGUUGCCAAGGAAGUCAAAGCAAUGACUCAAGGAGAUAUCUUAGCUUUUGAGAAAGCUAGCUGGAGAAGUAACUAUUGCUACACACUGUUGGAAGCUGACUGAUAUUAAGGUUGUGCGGGAAUUCAAAUGUCCUGAUGGUAUGACUGAAAAGGAUAUUGAUGCAGCUGGAGAUAUUCCUAGGGAAAGAAAUAUACACAGAUGCGGAGAUCGAUGAUGAAGUUAAGAGGAGAAUGGGCGAUGUACGUAUCAAACUUUUUUAAGUUAUUGAUGUUUCAUUGAUGUCAAAGCAUCAACGAGGGAAAAAAAAAGUAUUAAAACUUUUGUUGAAUGAUAUAUUAUUAUUGUUGAAUUUCGUUUACUUAAUCAGUAUGGUUCAAAGAUUGUUGAAUGUUUAAAUUUAUUUAUGAAU